AUUUAAGUAAUUUAAUAAAAUUUUGAUUUGUGGUGUCAAAUUUAUAAGUUUAAAAUCUUAUCUUAGAUU
rnacentral:tRNA from 1 species